GGCAGAGGGCGAGUCGCUGGGUUCUGAGAAGAGGGCGGGGAUUCGUAGUCCCGGCUGAUUACAGAGACAGAAGCUGUCUUCUUCCAAUCAGUCUGUCUGUGUUGCUCAGUUCAUUCACCAGCUCAUCUAAUUGCAUGAUGCCAUAUGUUAUUAUCUUGUGUGAAAGAUACUGUAAGAAAGCUGUAAAGUUCUCACUGGAGAAUCUCUCCUUGGGUGACAAGACACUUGGAUGUAAAUCCAGAUCUUUUGCUUCUUUUUAGUAGGCUACCUGUCAAACAAUUAAACCGGUCAAAGCUUUCUGAAGUCUGUUGGAUUUGUGAUAGUUCAAUAUGUGAAUCAGAGCCUCCACCUUAAUGUUCUUAGAAUAGUUGUUGGAAAAAGAAUUUGGAAUUUCACAAAACUAUCUAACUAGAAAGCAUAAAAUAUUGUAUUUUCAUUUGCAUGGCUUGCUGGCUUUUAUGUGGCAGAUCCAAUAACAACAAGCUACACUAAGCUCAUAAAACAAAGUAAGACGAGCGGCUCCUUUUUUUAAUGGCCCAGUGCAACAGUUAUGGCUGACAGCCUUUCAUAAUUCAUCUUAAACCUGGAUGCCU